UGUGUAGAUCUGCGUUACGCAUUCGCAA
rnacentral:sRNA from 1 species